UGUUCCCUCCGAGACGGAUCCCGAGUAGUGCGGGGCACGUGAAACCCCGUAUGAAUCCGGCAGGACCAUCUGCCAAGGCUAAAUACUCCCUGGCGACCGAUAGUGAAGCAGUACCGUGAGGGAAAGGUGAAAAGCACCCCGGAAGGGGAGUGAAAUAGAUCCUGAAACCGUGUGCUUACAAGAAGUCAGAGCCCGAUCUAUGGGUGAUGGCGUGCCUUUUGUAGAAUGAACCGGCGAGUUACGUUCCCGUGCAAGGUUAAGGUGAAGAGCUGAAGCCGCAGCGAAAGCGAGUCUGAAUAGGGCGACUUGAGUACGUGGACGUAGACCCGAAACCGGGUGAUCUACCCCUGUCCAGGGUGAAGGUGCGGUAACACGCACUGGAGGCCCGAACCCACGCAUGUUGAAAAAUGCGGGGAUGAGGUGGGGGUAGCGGAGAAAUUCCAAUCGAACCCGGAGAUAGCUGGUUCUCCCCGAAAUAGCUUUAGGGCUAGCCUCGGAAAGAAGAAUCGUGGAGGUAGAGCACUGAUUGGGUGCGGGGCCCGCAAGGGUUACCAAGCUCAGUCAAACUCCGAAUGCCAUAGAUUUAGUUCCGGGAGUCAGACAGUGAGUGCUAAGAUCCAUUGUCGAAAGGGAAACAGCCCAGACCAUCAGCUAAGGUCCCCAAGUGUGUGUUAAGUGGGAAAGGAUGUGGAGUUGCACAGACAACCAGGAUGUUGGCUUAGAAGCAGCCACCAUUGAAAGAGUGCGUAAUAGCUCACUGGUCGAGUGACUCUGCGCCGAAAAUGUAACGGGGCUAAACACACCACCGAAGCUAUGGCUUGAUGCUUGCAUCAGGGGUAGGGGAGCGUUGAAUGCGGGUUGAAGGUGUACCGGAAGGAGCGCUGGACUGCAUUCAAGUGAGAAUGCCGGUAUGAGUAACGAAAAGAUCUGUGAGAAUCAGAUCCGCCGAAAGCCUAAGGGUUCCUGAGGAAGGUUCGUCCGCUCAGGGUAAGUCGGGACCUAAGGCGAGGCCGAUAGGCGUAGUCGAAGGACAACAGGUCGAAAUUCCUGUACCACCGUAAUCCG
rnacentral:rRNA from 1 species